rnacentral:misc_RNA from 1 species
UCUCCGUAGGUGAACCUGCGGAGGGAUCAUUACAGAGUUCAUGCCCUACCGGGUCUAUCUCCCACCCUAUGUUAUUAUUACUUUGUUGCUUUGUCGUGCUGUUAGGCUCCGGCCCGACUACCGGCGCCGGAUGGUAAGCGGCCGCCGGAGGACCCAAAACCCUGAAUAAUAAUGUCCGCUGAGUACUAAAUAAUAGUUAAAACUUACAACAACCGAGAUCUUAGUUCUCGCAUCGAUGAAGAAGCCAGCAGAACGGAAGAGCCACGCCUGACCUCGAGU